UACGGAGGGUGCAAGCGUUAAUCGGAAUUACUGGGCGUAAAGCGUGCGCAGGCGGUUUUGUAAGCCAGAUGUGAAAUCCCCGGGCUUAACCUGGGAAUGGCAUUUGGGACUGCAAGGCUCGAGUGCGGCAGAGGAGACUGGAAUUCCUGGUGUAGCAGUGAAAUGCGUAGAUAUCAGGAGGAACACCGAUGGCGAAGGCGGCAUCCUGGACCAACACUGACGCUGAGUGAGCGAAAGCCAGGGGAGCAAACGGG
rnacentral:rRNA from 1 species